rnacentral:tRNA from 1 species
GCCAUCGUAGUGUAAUGGUUAGCCCACUCGACACGUAUUCGAAAGGUCCGAGGUUCGAAUCCCGGCGAGGGCA